UACGUAGGGGGCAAGCGUUGUCCGGAAUCAUUGGGCGUAAAGAGCGUGUAGGCGGCUCGGUAAGUCCGCUCUGAAAGCCCGGGGCUCAACCCCGGGAGGCGGGCGGAUACUGUCGGGCUAGAGUCCGGAAGAGGCGAGUGGAAUUCCUGGUGUAGCGGUGGAAUGCGCAGAUAUCAGGAGGAACACCGGUGGCGAAGGCGGGUCUCUGGGCAGUAACUGACGUGAGGAGCGAAAGCGUGGGGAGCGAACAGG
rnacentral:rRNA from 1 species